rnacentral:rRNA from 1 species
AUUGAACGCUGGCGGCAGGCCUAACACAUGCAAGUCGAGCGAGUGGCGGACGGGUGAGAAAUGUAUGGGAAACUGCCUGAUGGAGGGGGAUAACUACCGGAAACGGUAGCUAAUAACGCAUACCAUCGAAUGUGCCCAGAUGGGAUUGGCUAGUAGGUGGGGUAACGGCUCACCUAGGAGACGUUCCCUAGCUGGUCGGAGAGGAUGACCAGCCACACUGGAACGGAAACACGGCCCAGACUCCUACGGGAUGCAGCAGUGGGGAAUAUUGCACAAGGGGCGCAAGCCUGAUGCAGCCAUGCCGCGUGUAUGAAGAAGGCCUUCGGGUUGUAAAGUACUUUCAGCGUGGAGGCGUUACCCGCAGAAGAAGCACCGGCUAACUCCGUGCCAGCAGCCGCGGUAAUUC